rnacentral:rRNA from 1 species
AAUGAACGUUGGCGGCAUGGAUUAGGCAUGCAAGUCGAGCGAAAAGUGUAGCAAUACACGGAAAGCGGCGGAAGGGAGAGUAAUACGUGGGAAUCUGCCCUUAGACCUGGGAUAGCAGCGGGAAACUGCUGGUAAUACCAGAUAAUGUCUACGGACCAAAGGUGUGAUUCCGUCUAGGGAUGAGCCCACGUCCUAUUAGCUAGUUGGUGGGGUAAUGGCCUACCAAGGCGAUGAUGGGUAGCGGGUGUGAGAGCAUGACCCGCCUCACUGGGACUGAGACACGGACCAGGCACCUACGGGUGGCUGCAGUCGAGAAUAGUCGGCAAUGGGCGCAAGCCUGACCGGGCGAUGCCGCGUGCGGGAUGAAGGCCUUCGGGUUGUAAACCGCUGUCGAGGGGGAGCAACUUCCAUAGAGUUAUCUUUAUGGAUUGAGUGAUCCCUGGAGGAAGGACGGGCUAAGUUCGUGCCAGCCGCCGCCGUAACAC